GUUUGAUCAUGGCCCUGAACGAACGCUGGCGGCAUGCCUAACACAUGCAAGUCGAGCGAGGCCCUUCGGGGUUUAGUGGCGCACGGGUGCCCCACGCGUGGGAAUCUGCCCUUUGGUUCGGAAUAACAGCUGGAAACGGCUGCUAAUACCGGAUGAUGACGAGAGUCCAAAGAUUUAUCGCCAGAGGAUGAGCCCGCGUUGGAUUAGGUAGUUGGUGGGGUAAAGGCCUACCAAGCCGACGAUCCAUAGCUGGUCUGAGAGGAUGAUCAGCCACACUGGGACUGAGACACGGCCCAGACUCCUACGGGAGGCAGCAGUGGGGAAUAUUGGACAAUGGGCGCAAGCCUGAUCCAGCAAUGCCGCGUGAGUGAUGAAGGCCCUAGGGUUGUAAAGCUCUUUUACCCGGGAAGAUAAUGACUGUACCGGGAGAAUAAGCCCCGGCUAACUCCGUG
rnacentral:rRNA from 1 species